CAACGGCCGCGGUAUCCUAACCGUGCGAAGGUAGCGUAAUCACUUGUUCUUUAAAUGAGGACUAGUAUGAAUGGCACCACGAAGGUUAUACUGUCUCCUUUUUCUAAUCAGUGAAACUAAUCUUCCCGUGAAGAAACGGGAAUAAAAAUAUAAGACGAGAAGACCCUAUGGAGCUUUAAACAAAUAUACACCUGCCUCUUUACCAAAAAUUUCAGAAGACAAGUAAUUACCCGGACAUUUUGAUAUAGCGUUUUAGGUUGGGGUGACCGCGGAGCAAAAAAUAACCUCCGCAGCGAACGGGAGUAUUCCCUAAACCAAGGGCCACAACCCCAAGUAUUGAUAAAUCAACACCAAUUGACCCAAUAAAUUUGAUCAAUGAACCAAGUUACCCUAGGGAUAACAGCGCAAUCCACUUCAAGAGCUCCUAUCGACAAGUGGGUUUACGACCUCGAUGUUGGAUCAGG
rnacentral:rRNA from 1 species